AGUGAACGCUGGCGGUAGGCCUAACACAUGCAAGUCGAACGGCAGCACAGUAAUAGCUUGUUCUUACGGGUGGCGAGUGGCGGACAGGGGCGAAAUACCUCGGAAUCUACUUUUUCUUGGGGGAGAACGUAGGGAAACUUACGCUAAUACCGCAUACGACCUACGGGUGAAAGCUGGGGACCUUCGGACCUUGCGCGAUUCAAUGAGCCGAUGUCGGAUUAGCUAGUUGGCGGGGUAAAGGCCCACCAAGGCGACGAUCCGUAGCUGGUCUGAGAGGAUGAUCAGCCACACUGGAACUGAGACACGGUCCAGACUCCUACGGGAGGCAGCAGUGGGGAAUAUUGGACAAUGGGCGCAAGCCUGAUCCAGCCAUACCGCGUGGGUGAAGAAGGCCUUCGGGUUGUAGAGCCCUUUUGUUGGGAAAGAAAAGCAGCAGGUUAAUACCCCGCUGUUCUGACGGUACCCAAAGAAUAAGCACCGGCUAACUUCGUG
rnacentral:rRNA from 1 species